UACAGAGGUCCCAAGCGUUGUUCGGAUUCAUUGGGCGUAAAGGGUGCGUAGGCGGCGCGGUAAGUCGGGUGUGAAAUCUCGGAGCUUAACUCCGAAACUGCAUUCGAUACUGCCGUGCUUGAGGACUGGAGAGGAGACUGGAAUUUACGGUGUAGCGGUGAAAUGCGUAGAUAUCGUAAGGAAGACCAGUGGCGAAGGCGGGUCUCUGGACAGUCCUGACGCUGAGGCACGAAGGCCAGGGAGCAAACGGG
rnacentral:rRNA from 1 species